AGAGUUUGAUCCUGGCUCAGAUUGAACGCUGGCGGCGUGCCUAACACAUGCAAGUCGAGCGGCAGCGNNNGGGCAACCCUGGCGGCGAGCGGCGAACGGGUGAGUAACGCUUGGGAAUCUGCCCAUGAGUGGGGAAUAACCAGCCGAAAGGUUGGCUAAUACCGCAUACGCCCUGAGGGGGAAAGCGGGGGAUCGCAAGACCUCGCGCUGAUGGAUGAGCCCAAGUCGGAUUAGCUAGUUGGUGGGGUAACGGCCCACCAAGGCGACGAUCCGUAGCUGGUCUGAGAGGACGACCAGCCACACUGGGACUGAGACACGGCCCAGACUCCUACGGGAGGCAGCAGUGGGGAAUAUUGGACAAUGGGGGCAACCCUGAUCCAGCGACGCCGCGUGUGUGAAGAAGGCCUGCGGGUUGUAAAGCACUUUUAGUGGGGAUGAAAAGCUCGAGGCCAAUACCCUCGGGUCUUGACCUAACCCACAGAAAAAGCACCGGCUAACUCUGUGCCAGCAGCCGCGGUAAUACAGAGGGUGCGAGCGUUAAUCGGAAUUACUGGGCGUAAAGCGUGCGUAGACGGUUGCAUAAGUCGGAUGUGAAAGCCCCGGGCUCAACCUGGGAAUGGCAUUCGAGACUGUGUAGCUAGGGUACGGAAGAGGGAAGUGGAAUUUCCGGUAGCGGUGAAAUGCGUAGAUAUCGGAAGGAACACCAGUGGCGAAAGCGACUUCCUGGUCCAGUACCGACGUUCAGGCACGAAAGCGUGGGGAGCAAACAGGAUUAGAUACCCUAGUAGUCC
rnacentral:rRNA from 1 species